UGAAUACGAGAUGCUACGGCGUCGAAGCAGUCUAUGUCAUACUUCCAAGAAAAGCUUGCACUGUCAUAAACAAAUAAUGCCUGUACCAUAACCGACACAGGUGGGUAGGUAGAGUAUACUAAGGGGCGCGAGAUAACUCUCUCUAAGGAACUCGGCAAAAUGACUCCGUAACUUCGGGAGAAGGAGUGCCUUAUUUAUAAAGUUGCAAUAACAAGAUCCAAGCAACUGUUUACCAAAAACACAGGUCUCCGCUAAGUCGUAAGACGAUGUAUGGGGGCUGACGCCUGCCCAGUGCCAGAAGGUUAAAGAAGUUGGUUAGCAUCCGCGAAGCUGAUAACUGAAGCCCUGGUGAACGGCGGCCGUAACAAUAACGGUCCUAAGGUAGCGAAAUUCCUUGUCGGGUAAGUUCCGACCCGCACGAAAGGCGUAAUGAUUUGGAUACUGUCUCGGAGAGGGGCUCGGUAAAAUAGACUUGUCUGUGAAGAUGCGGACUACCUGCACCAGGACAGAAAGACCCUAUGAAGCUUUACUGUAACCUGAAAUUGAAAUUGGACUUUACUUGCGCAGUAUAGGUGGGAGGCGUUGAGAAUAUUCUUGCGGGAUUAUUGGAGCCAUCAGUGAGAUACCACUCUUGUAAUGUUAGAUUUCUAACUUUGUAUCAUUAUCUGGUCAAAGAACAGUUUCAGGCGGGCAGUUUGACUGGGGCGGUCGCCUCCUAAACGGUAACGGAGGCGCACAAAGGUUUCCUCUGAACGGGUAGAAAUCGUAUCUAGAGUGUAAAGGCAUAAGGAAGCUUGACUGUGAGACCUACAAGUCGAGCAGGGACGAAAGUCGGUCUUAGUGAUCUGACGGUGCUGAGUGGAAAGGCCGUCACUCAACGGAUAAAAGUUACUCUAGGAUAACAGGCUGAUCUCCCCCAAGAGUUCACAUCGACGGGGAGGUUUGGCACCUCGAUGUCGGCUCAUCGCAUCCUGGGGCGGUAGUACGUCCCAAGGGUUGGGCUGUUCGCCCAUGAAAGCGGUACGCGAGCUGGGUUCAGAACGUCGUGAGACAGUUCGGUCCAUAUCCGGUGUAGGCGUUAGAAUAUUGAGAGGAGCCUUCUUUAGUACGAGAGGACCGAGAAGGACAUACCUCUGGUGUACCAGUUAUCGUGCCAACGGUAAACGCUGGGUAGCUAUGUGUGGAGUGGAUAACCGCUGAAAGCAUCUAAGUGGGAAGCCCACCUCAAGAUAAG
rnacentral:rRNA from 1 species